ACAGCAUCUGCAAUUCUGCAUGCUAUGGGGGCUAAAUCCUACAGUCCAUGCAACUUGGCAGGAAAUUAAACAGCGGCCACCAGAAAUACCGACACAGGAGUUCUCCACAUCUAUGGCGUAAAAGGUCUGCGUACAAAAUGGAGGCCACGGCACGUUCCUGCUUAUGGAUCAAGCAUCUCUUCCUUCACCGGGGUGCGCCGAAUAGCAAGCUCAUUGCCGCGAGGCUGGGUUACUAUCUCUG
rnacentral:lncRNA from 1 species